rnacentral:miRNA from 1 species
CGUGAGCUCUACGUGACGGCUGA